GCUGGGUGCAAUGACACAUGCCUGUAGUCCUAGCUAUUCAUGAGGCUGAGGCAAGAGGAUUGCUUGUGCCCAAGAGUUUGAGACCAGCCUGGACAACAUAGUGAGAACCCAUCUCAA
rnacentral:sRNA from 1 species